rnacentral:rRNA from 1 species
GUGGGGAAUAUUGGACAAUGGGCGAAAGCCUGAUCCAGCCAUGCCGCGUGUGUGAAGAAGGUCUUCGGAUUGUAAAGCACUUUAAGUUGGGAGGAAGGGCAGUAAGUUAAUACCUUGCUGUUUUGACGUUACCGACAGAAUAAGCACCGGCUAACUUCGUGCCAGCAGCCGCGGUAAUACGAAGGGUGCAAGCGUUAAUCGGAAUUACUGGGCGUAAAGCGCGCGUAGGUGGUUCGUUAAGUUGGAUGUGAAAGCCCCGGGCUCAACCUGGGAACUGCAUCCAAAACUGGCGAGCUAGAGUACGGUAGAGGGUGGUGGAAUUUCCUGUGUAGCGGUGAAAUGCGUAGAUAUAGGAAGGAACACCAGUGGCGAAGGCGACCACCUGGACUGAUACUGACACUGAGGUGCGAAAGCGUGGGGAGCAAACAGGAUUAGAAACCCUGGUAGUCC